GAUGAACGCUGGCGGCGUGCUUAACACAUGCAAGUCGAGCGGAAAGGCCCAAGCUUGCUUGGGUACUCGAGUGGCGAACGGGUGAGUAACACGUGGGUGAUCUGCCCUGCACUUCGGGAUAAGCCUGGGAAACUGGGUCUAAUACCGGAUAGGACGAUGGUUUGGAUGCCAUUGUGGAAAGUUUUUUCGGUGUGGGAUGAGCUCGCGGCCUAUCAGCUUGUUGGUGGGGUAAUGGCCUACCAAGGCGUCGACGGGUAGCCGGCCUGAGAGGGUGUACGGCCACAUUGGGACUGAGAUACGGCCCAGACUCCUACGGGAGGCAGGAGGGGGGAAUAUUGCACAAUGGGCGCAAGCCUGAUGCAGCGACGCCGCGUGGGGGAUGACGGCCUUCAGGUUGUAAACUCCUUUCGCUAGGGACGAAGCGUUUUUGUGACGGUACCUGGAGAAGAAGCACCGGCUAACUACGCG
rnacentral:rRNA from 1 species